CCCAGACUCCUACGGGAGGCAGCAGUGAGGAAUAUUGGUCAAUGGCCGAGAGUCUGAACCAGCCAAGUAGCGUGAAGGAUGACUGCCCUAUGGGUUGUAAACUUCUUUUAUAUGGGAAUAAAACGUUCCACGUGUGGGAUUUUGUAUGUACCAUAUGAAUAAGGAUCGGCUAACUCCGUGCCAGCAGCCGCGGUAAUACGGAGGAUGCGAGCGUUAUCCGGAUUUAUUGGGUUUAAAGGGUGCGCAGGCGGAGGUGCAAGUCAGCGGUCAAAUUGCGGGGCUCAACCCCGUACUGCCGUUGAAACUGCAUCCCUUGAGUGCGCGAGAAGUAUGCGGAAUGCGUGGUGUAGCGGUGAAAUGCAUAGAUAUCACGCAGAACUCCGAUUGCGAAGGCAGCAUACCGGCGCGCAACUGACGCUCAUGCACGAAAGCGUGGGUAUCGAACAGGAUUAGAUACCCUCGUA
rnacentral:rRNA from 1 species